UCCAAGUCUGACACAAAACCCAGAAGCAACAAAGGAAAAGAAUGACAGAUUUAAGUGCAUGAAGUCUAAAUAUAUCCUGCAGGGCUCAAGAAACCAUAAGCAAAGGUAAAGCCAAAUACGAACAGGUAAAAGAUGAUAUAUGUACAAGAAACCUGUUAAAUGACACUAAUACAUAAAAAAGCUUCAACAAUUCAGUAAGAAAAAGACAAUUCAGCAGGAAAAAGUGGGCAAGUAACAUGGGACUUGUAGAAGAAAUACAAACACACACUUUAAGGGCGUCAACAUUUUUUUUUUUCGACACAGGGACUUGCUACGUAGUUCUGACUGCAGCAGUGCUCCUACCUCAUCUCGUCGUAGUGCUGGGAUUAUAGGCAUGCAUCACCAUACCUGGUGGAAUGAUGGUCCUGUACUGCUAAACACAAGGUUUACCACUGACCUGUGCCCCCAGCCCAGUCCAAAGCUUUGAAGUUAACUGGAUCUUGGAC
rnacentral:lncRNA from 1 species